rnacentral:rRNA from 1 species
GACGAACGCUGGCGGCGUGCCUAAUACAUGCAAGUAGAACGCUGAAGGACGGAGCUUGCUCUUUCUGGAUGAGUUGCGAACGGGUGAGUAACGCGUAGGUAACCUGCCUGGUAGCGGGGGAUAACUAUUGGAAACGAUAGCUAAUACCGCAUAAAAUUGAUUAUUGCAUGAUAGUCAAUUAAAAGGUGCAACUGCACCACUAACAGAUGGACCUGCGUUGUAUUAGCUAGUUGGUGGGGUAACGGCUCACCAAGGCGACGAUACAUAGCCGACCUGAGAGGGUGAUCGGCCACACUGGGACUGAGACACGGCCCAGACUCCUACGGGAGGCAGCAGUAGGGAAUCUUCGGCAAUGGACGGAAGUCUGACCGAGCAACGCCGCGUGAGUGAAGAAGGUUUUCGGAUCGUAAAGCUCUGUCGUAAGAGAAGAACGAGUGUGAGAGUGGAAAGUUCACACUGUGACGGUAUCUUACCAGAAAGGAACGGCUAACUACGUG